GCCUUUGUAGCUUAAAUGGUAGAGCGUUCGCUUGAAGCGCGACUGAUGAAAGUUCAAUUCUUUCCGAAGGCA
rfam:Clavispora lusitaniae ATCC 42720 scaffold_9 genomic scaffold, whole genome shotgun sequence.